rnacentral:rRNA from 1 species
UGGGGAAUAUUGGACAAUGGGCGAAAGCCUGAUCCAGCCAUGCCGCGUGGGUGAAGAAGGCCUUCGGGUUGUAAAGCCCUUUUGUUGGGGAAGAAAUCCUGCUGGCUAAUACCUGGCGGGGAUGACGGUACCCAAAGAAUAAGCACCGGCUAACUUCGUGCCAGCAGCCGCGGUAAUACGUAGGGUGCAAGCGUUAAUCGGAAUUACUGGGCGUAAAGCGUGCGCAGGCGGUUCGGAAAGAAAGGUGUGAAAUCCCAGGGCUUAACCUUGGAACUGCACUUUUAACUACCGGGCUAGAGUGUGUCAGAGGGAGGUGGAAUUCCACGUGUAGCAGUGAAAUGCGUAGAGAUGCGGAGGAACACCGAUGGCGAAGGCAGCCUCCUGGGAUAACACUGACGCUCAUGCACGAAAGCGUGGGGAGCAAACAGGAUUAGAUACCC